AAAUACUGUAGGCUGUUUAGUUUUUAUAAAUUUAAAUAAAAUACUGUCACAGACUUCGCCAUGUUGCUUACGCCGCAAUGCAUCAUGGGUGUUUGAAGCAUGCUAGGUGUUAAUGUGCUACUAGCUCCCUCCUGCCAAAACGGCCAUUAUUAUGCAUACAGAGUGACAGCCCUAUCAAUUUGAACCGGACAUUGUUGAAAUACAAGGAAAUGCGCAAAUGAUAAGCGGAAAUGAAAGUGCGUAGAACCAAACGGAUGAAAAGUGGGACGAAAAAUCUGGAGUUUGUGCUGCUGCUUGGAAAAGCCAACCCAGAAAUGGAUCGUAGCUGCAAAGAGCUCCAGUUUCCAACUGAAGCUGUUAACGAUUGAACUACUGGCCAAAACUUGUGAUGAUCCAUGGUUCUUUGGAAACUGUGGCAGGUUUCUGCAAACCUCAUUCAAUUCAUAUCAACCGACAUCUCCUAAGCACUUCACGCCGGAUCAGGACUGCAGUGUUAUCUGGAAUGGAAGUGGAAAACUAAAGGAAGCUGUCAUGUUGCAUUCAGAGGGAAGAGGUGUGUGCAGUGGGGUCUGAUGUAUGUGCUGCAGAGAUAACAGUCCCGAGGCGGCACACUGGGGCAACAGAAAUAUUCCUCUUCAUCACUCCAGCGCUGUCACUUGUACGUUGACACAGAUGAUAACUGUUUGUACGCAGCCCAUUUCAAAAGAGCACCAUCCUCUUAAAGGCUCUCAGGAAGCAAUUUGUUCUCUGCAGCAAAGGGUGUUAACAUGUCAGAUGUUGCCAAAUGUUAGACCUUCAUCCAUUCUUAUAACACAUAUACACUCCUUUUUUUAACCUAUUAGGCAGAAGAAUCAGAUUUUUAUGCUUAAAAUAUAAUCAAAUGUAGUUUAAAAGUUUAAAUCAUAACCCAAAAACACAUCUGUUGAAAGAAAACUGAAU